rnacentral:rRNA from 1 species
AGUACUGUGAAGGAAAGGUGAAAAGGACCCCGGGAGGGGAGUGAAAGAGAACCUGAAACCCUGUGUUUACAAGCUGUCGGAGCACUAUAUAUGUGCGACGGCGUACUUUUUGUAGAACGGUCCGGCGAGUUAUGGCAUGUGGUAAGGUUAAGUACUUCAGGUACGGAGCCGAAGCGAAAGCGAGUGUGAAAAGCACGUUCUAAUCGCCUGUCAUAUACCCGAAACCGGGUGAUCUAUCCAUGUCCAGGAUGAAGUUGCCGUAAAAGGCAAUGGAGGUCCGAACACACAUCCGUUGAAAAGGGUGGUGAUGAGGUGUGGAUAGGGGAGAAAUUCCAAUCGAACCCGGAGAUAGCUGGUUCUCCUCGAAAUAGCUUUAGGGCUAGCCCAUGACAAGUCUGCCGCAGGUAGAGCACUGAAUUUCCUAGGGGGCGUCAAAGCCUACCGAAGAAUAUCAAACUCCGAAUGGCGGCCAGAUGGUGUCAUGGAGUCAGACUGCACGAGAUAAGUUGGGUGGUCAAAAGGGAAAGAGCCCAGACCCACAGCUAAGGUCCCAAAGUGCGUGUUAAGUGGAAAAGGAUGUGGGAUUUCGAAGACAACUAGGAUGUUGGCUCAGAAGCAGCCACACAUUAAAAGAGUGCGUAAUAGCUCACUAGUCGAGAGGUCCUGCGCCGAAAAUGUCCGGGGCUGAAACACGACACCGAAGCUUGGGAAUCCUACGGGAUUGGUAGAGGAGCAUUGAAGACGGGACGAAGCGUAACCGUAAGGAUACGUGGACUGUCUUGAAGAGAGAAUGCCGGAAUGAGUAGCGAGAAUGAAGUGAGAAUCUUCAUGGCCGAAUAUCUAAGGUUUCCAGGGUAAAGCUGAUCUGCCCUGGGUAAGUCGGGACCUAAGGCGAGGUCGAAAGACGUAGCCGAUGGACAACAGGUUGAAAUUCCUGUACUGCAUUAAAUCAGAACUGUGGGGACACAGAAGGAAGGCAUGAGCCGGAAAAGGAAAAUCCGGUGCAAGCAUGGGAGGGGUAUGACAGGCAAAUCCGUCAUGCAACCCGAGAAUGUGACGCGGAGCGAACAAAAGUAGCGAAGCAUGCUUACCGGCUGUCGAGAAAAGCCGCUAUUGCGUUUAAUGCACCCGUACCGUAAACCGACACAGGUGGAUGAGGAGAGAAUCCUAAGGCCGGCGGGAGAAGCAUUGUUAAGGAACUCGGCAAAAUGACCCCGUAACUUCGGGAGAAGGGGUGCUCUUAGAAAUAAGAGCCGCAGAGAAUUGGCCCAAGCAACUGUUUAGCAAAAACACAGGUCUAUGCAAAACCGAAAGGUGAGGUAUAUGGGCUGACGCCUGCCCGGUGCUGGAAGGUUAAGAGGAGAGGUCAGAGCAAUCGAAGCCUUGAAUUUAAGCCCCAGUAAACGGCGGCCGUAACUAUAACGGUCCUAAGGUAGCGAAAUUCCUUGUCGGGUAAGUUC